CUGCAAUCUGUCAGGAGCACAAGAACCAGGAUGUGGUUGUAAUAUUCUGGUGUUGCAUGAUCUCGCUUUGCAUUGUACCUCUGACUUUACGACACUUUCUUUAGUUUAAAAUAACUAAAAUAAGAUAUAAAUAUAUCGACAGGGCUGAGGUUCAAGAGGAAAGAUGAACGGCAGAAAACGACACCCGGGAGAAGAGAAAGCAGAGGCAGAGAAGAAGAAGAAACUAAAAGUGACCCAACAUCAGGGACAUCCUCAUGGUCUGUACAAUCAGGGAGCCACAUGUUACCUCAACAGUGUCCUGCAAGUUCUCUUCAUGACAACAGAGAUCCAUGGCAGGUUGGAUGCAGAAUCACAGACCACAGAUCGAGAGCUGAGAAAAGUCUUUGAACAAUUGGAAGAGGCACCUUGUGAAACAAAAAACUUCACGAGGAGUUUUGAGAUUGAAAAUGUUUAUCAACAACGUGAUGCAGCCGAAUGCCUGGAGUUGAUUUUACAUCGUGUCAGCCCAAAGGUCUCUGAGGUUUUCCAAGGACAGCUGACACACACAACAACAUGCUCCGAAGGACACAGCAUCAACGAAGAGACAAACUCAUUCUGGACUCUUCCACUGUCACUAAAAGAUGCUCAUGAUGCACCCUACACGUACAGCGUGGAAAGCGGCUUUAAAAUGAUUUUCCAGACAAAAUCAUUCAGCGAAGACAACCUGGUGUACUGCAACGGAUGCCAAAAGAAAACAGGGGCCACCAGUGGAUGUGAGAUGGAGAAACAUCCUCAGAUCUUGACUCUACUCGUGAAGAGAUUUGACUUGGACCCCGUCACCAUGUCACAUGUCAAAUCAAACCGCUGUGUGGACGUACCACGCGCGUUACAGAGCAAGAACAAGGAGUACAAACUGUAUGGGAUGGUGAAUCACGUGGGCAGUCUAAGAGGGGGACAUUACACCGCCACCAUCCUGUCCAAGGAGGACGACACCUGGUAUGAGUUUAACGACGUGCACGUCAACAAGGUGAGGAUUCAUUUAACACAUCCAUUAAAGGGCACAUAUUCAAAAUCCACAACAACAAAAAGAAUAUUAAAAGAAUACUUGUUGAAUGUUCUUGUUUGUGUUGCAUGUGGCAGGUUCAAAAGCAACCAUUUGCAAAAACCAGCAGCUACAAGUAUGUUCCAUUAUUUCCACCAAUCUUACCUUAUGGUUUAUUUUAGUAGCAGUGCCGGAGCUUUCGAUCAAGUCAGAGUUGUGUUGUUCAAUGCAAACAAUCACUGUUCAACAGUUCCAGCACCGCAUAUCUGCUCGUGUACAGAGGUGAGAUCACACAAGUACAAAAGGAAUCAAUCGAGAGACAAGGAAAGAUGGGGAAAGAUGGGAUUCAAGAGGAGGAGGAUGCAAAACAGGAUACGGUUUCAAACUUCAACGAGGACAGAGAAGAUGAUCUCAGUCAACAACGCCCGGGAAAUCUGACAACAGCAGAGGAGAGGGAACAAAGUGUAAUACCAGUGGAAGAUGAUGCCACGAAUGAUGAGAGAUGUCCGUCGCCCAGGAGUUCAACCAACAUCAAGAUCGGGAUUUCUAUCGGUUUUGGUUUUGCAUUAAUUGUGAUAAUUUCUGUCAUUGUAACAUAUCUGCACAAGCCUUGACACAGAGAGAGAGAGCAGGGAUGUCAGCAUUGAACAUGGGUUCAAAAAUGUCUUCCAGCAAGAUUACACUUUCAAAACGCUAGUUGUUAAUGUUUUUAAUCAACUGUGCUUCUUUAUUUUUGUAUGCCAUUUAUUAAACUAUGUGAAGGCCAUGUGGAUGUUGACAAGUACUUAAAAAAAGUGGAACAAUAUAUCAUAAUGUUAUAUUUACCGUUUGUUUUGCCAUGUUUUCUCCUUAUCUUUAUGUGUGAAGCAGAACACUAGCUGAUAAUCAGAGUCAGGCCCACAACAAAUAAUGUUCAUGACUUUGCUGUAUUUCCUGUUCAAUAAAAAUUCAAAUGCAAA